AAUAGAACAAAACCACUUCUGCUGGCUGGGCGUGUAAUCCUGCAGCUGGGGGAAAUCACAGAUUCAAGGACCUGGAAACCACUGGCACUUGUGCACAUCAGUCUGUCAGAGGAACUGAACUAGCUGAGAGCCAGGAGGCCCCUGUGGUUUCUGCUGCAACUUCCCAUGCAGUGCUGAGGAGAGGGAAGGUCUUUCUGAAGGCAGUCCCAGGCUCACAUCUAAUCACAUCCAUGGGGAGAACUUAUCGCAGAAAAUCUAUUAGAUCAGAGUUUCACCACCUGUGAUUUUGUGACCACCCAAACUGCUGAGAAAUUCUCCAGAAGAGCAUCAUGUGCAGAGAGCCAGGAGCAACUCUCAUUUACAGCCAAACAAAACUGUUAAAGCUAUUUUAUUCCUUUUAAA